UGGGGAAUUUUGGACAAUGGGCGAAAGCCUGAUCCAGCAAUGCCGCGUGUGUGAAGAAGGCCUUCGGGUUGUAAAGCACUUUUGUCCGGAAAGAAAUCCUUGGCUCUAAUACAGUCGGGGGAUGACGGUACCGGAAGAAUAAGCACCGGCUAACUACGUGCCAGCAGCCGCGGUAAUACGUAGGGUGCAAGCGUUAAUCGGAAUUACUGGGCGUAAAGCGUGCGCAGGCGGUUUGCUAAGACCGAUGUGAAAUCCCCGGGCUCAACCUGGGAACUGCAUUGGUGACUGGCAGGCUAGAGUAUGGCAGAGGGGGGUAGAAUUCCACGUGUAGCAGUGAAAUGCGUAGAGAUGUGGAGGAAUACCGAUGGCGAAGGCAGCCCCCUGGCAAGUACUGACGCUCAUGCACGAAAGCGUGGGGAGCAAACAGGAUUAGAUACCCUGGUAGUCCACGCCCUAAANGAUGUCAACUAGUUGUUGGGGAUUCAUUUCCUUAGUAACGUAGCUAACGCGUGAAGUUGACCGCCU
rnacentral:rRNA from 1 species